CUCAGAUCAUGUAAGAUUUUAAUGAUCGAACAGAUCAAAAUUUUAAACUUUUGCAUUUAAAUUUUAUCUUAAUCCAACAUCGAGGUCGCAAACUUUUUUUUUUAUUUGAGCUAAAAAAAAAUAUUACGCUGUUAUCCCUAAGGUAAUUUUUUCUUAUAAUCAUUAUUAAUGGAUCAUUUAAUCAUUUAUUUAUGUUUAAUUUUUAAAAAAAGUUCAUUAAAUUUUUCUAUCACCCCAAUAUAAUAUUUAAUUUUAUUUUAAUAAAAAAUUUAAUAUAAUUUUAAAAUAAAAAUAAAUAUAAAACUCUAUAGGGUCUUCUCGUCUUUUAAAAUUAUUUUAGCUUUUUAACUAAAAAAUAAAAUUCUAAAAAUAAAUAAGAGACAGUCUAUAUUUCAUCAAAUCUUUCAUACAAGUUUUCAAUUAAAAAACUAUUGAUUAUGCUACCUUUGUACAGUCAUUAUACUGCAGCCCUUUAAUAAUUAUCAGUGGGCAGAUUAGACUUUAAAUUAUAAUCAAAAAGACAUGUUUUUG
rnacentral:rRNA from 1 species